rnacentral:rRNA from 1 species
AGAUUGAACGCUGGCGGCAGGCCUAACACAUGCAAGUCGAGCGGUAGAGAGGUGCUUGCAUCUUCUUGAGAGCGGCGGACGGGUGAGUAAUGCCUAGGAAUCUGCCUAGUGGUGGGGGAUAACGUUCGGAAACGGACGCUAAUACCGCAUACGUCCUACGGGAGAAAGCGGGGACCUUCGGGCCUCGCGCCAUUAGAUGAGCCUAGGUCGGAUUAGCUAGUUGGUGAGGUAAUGGCUCACCAAGGCGACGAUACCGUAACUGGUCUGAGAGGAUGAUCAGUCACACUGGAACUGAGACGACGGUCCAGACUCCGUAGGGGACGCGAGCGAAGGUGGGUAAUAGUUGGAACAAGUGGGACGAAAGCCUAGACUCC